rnacentral:piRNA from 1 species
AAAUUGGGUAUCUGAAUGACAGAGU